GGAAUGUUUGUGGCCGCUUCCAGAUGGGACAGGCAGCUCAGGAGCGAAUUGGCUGCUGCGGCUACUUUUCUCAUGACGGCAUCAUCCGCCACUAGAAGGACCUUGGAAGGAACCUGGGAACACACAAGAGCCAGCUGCCAAGUCAGAAUUUCAUAUCGGUGCCGUGUGUGUUCACCUGGAGGCCACUGCAGCCAUGGUCUCGGUAGCAUCCACCACUUCCUUUGCUGCCCCCUCCAGUCCAGUGAAGCUCUCUGAACUUUCUCCACUCUCACAUAUCAG